CCAGUGCCCUCUGACAGAGCAAACUGUGGCUAUGCAUCAUUGCCUGGCCUCUGUGCCCAUGGACUGUUGGUACUAGAACAGGAGGCACAGUG
rnacentral:snoRNA from 1 species